rnacentral:misc_RNA from 1 species
AGCGUCAUUUCAACCCUCAAGCCCUGCUUGGCGUUGGGGAUCAGCCGCGAGGCUGGCCCUGAAAACUAGUGGCGGUCCCGCCGUAGCUUCCUCUGCGUAGUAGCACAACCUCGCAUCGGAAAGCGGCGCGGCCCAGCCGUUAAAAACCCCAAAUUCUGAAGUUUGACCUCGGAUCAGGUAGGAAUACCCGCUGAACUUAA